AGCAGAGGAGUUGGAGACCAAGGUUGAUGCCAUGUCUUUGAUGAAGAUACACUGAUCCUGGUAGAUCCUGCCAAAAGGGGGAGCUGUAUUGCUUUCUCAUCUGCCCAAAUUUGUGGAUAGACAAGCAGCAAAUUAUCUCUAAGUCCCAGCAGCAGUGUGCUGUGAGGUUCCUCCAAGAGCCAGCAUCCAUCUCACUUCAGCCUGCCUGCCUGUCUUCUUCUCUGCUCUCCAGUGACUGCUUUGCUCCUCGCCAAUCCUCGGUAACAAGACAGAUGGAAGUGCCUCAGCAAGACCCCAAAGACGUCAUUAUUUCAAGAUAUAAGCUACACUCUGAGUGAUGCUUUCAGAAAUGAAGACUUUGCUUUGUUACACUGUUGGAUGUG